rnacentral:lncRNA from 1 species
CGCCGGUCUAUGACGCGGGCUGUGGCGUCCUGGUGCGCGCGCGUGGGCGCGUGCGUUUCUCCAUGUUUUCCCGAGUCGCGGUGCUGCUUCCCCCGCUGGGGCUCUGGUGGAUUCGCUGUGAGGAGCUCCUGGGAGGGGGCCGCGCUGACACUUCCAUCCGUUGUCAUCGGGCGUCAUCUAGCGGUCACCGUUUUUGAAGUCUAGGCGGCCCAGGGAAGCUCUGCUGUCCGCGCCGGGUCCUUGGGGGCGCAGAGCUAAGAUGCCAGGACCUCCUGGAAGCUGGGAAAUGCAUCCUGGGAUGCUCCCAGCGUGUUCCCUGCCAUACUCCAUCAGGUUUUCUCCCCCAGACUCUGCAAGGGCAGCAGCCUUGUCUCCACGCUUCAAUACUCAGCACACGAUACAAGCUGACUCUAAAACAUUUACUGGACCAACUGAGACUAAAGAUACCCAGUGGUGGAGUUGCUGGAUCAGACAGAACCAAUUGAUGAUCAGUAAUGGUGGCCAAUAAUGAGCUAGAAAUAAAGUACUUAGCAGGGCCUGAAAACGCCAACACUCUGAGGUCACUGACCUUCAAAAACUUCAACAGCCCUGAGUGAAACGUCCAAGCACAUUUAUCCACCAUUCAAAGACCCUUUAUUACCUAUCCUGUGUGCAUCUCAGAAGUCUCUUUUUACCACACUGUCUAUAUACUGCAUUAGCCAUUUAUAUGAAACUCCAAGGAAUCUUAUACUAUAUAUUCAAUCAUGUAUCCCUAGUACCUAGCACAGUCCUAGCAUAUAGUUUGUUACUAAACAUUUGAACAUUUGCAGAAUGAAGUAAUUAUCUUGUAUCCAGGUUCCAAGUUUUAAGGUGAUUUCUCACUAAAAAUAAAGUAUUACAGUUCACAAAUAAUCUACUUCCUUUUUUACAAAUGGGAUUGAUUUCAAUCUUAUCCCCUAAUAACAUUAUUUUCAUUUACUUCCAUCUAAAUAUAUUGUCCUAAGAGAGCAAUAGGAAAGAGACAUGCAUCACUUACCUGAGCUUCGUCUGUUAGGUAUGUCAGGGAAGAUAAGCAGGGUGAGAGUGGCCUCAACAGAGGACCCCAGAUCUCUGGCUUCCCUGUCUGGCAAGCACACCUCUGCAAACAAGUCUUCAGAGCCAGAUGACAAGAAUGCCCCAAGCAGUCCACCAGGGAAACCUGGGCCCAGUGUACAUCAAUGCAGAGCAUCAAGCACAGCAUAACAGGAGUACAGUUGCUUAUUCCUGUUCAGAGAUAACUGCAUCCCACACACUAUAAAAUGAAGAAAUGCAGAGAAGCAGAUGUAACUGAAGAAGACAACAGGAGCAACAAGGAGGGACAACAAUGACCUAGGAGCACACCAUGCCAGAGACACCUGGACUCCGCACUAGACUCAGUGCCCAUUAUAUUCUUGGGACCCAGUGCUUUGCCUCUCCAUCACUUGGCAUACUUGGCAUUUUUUGUUGCUUAAAAUAAUGUUUUUAGUGUUCACCUUUCCUAGGAGACAGGCAGAUCCUGUGGCACCAUAGCUUCUGGCACACAGUAGGUGCAUCACAAACAUCUGCUGGGUUCACACACUCUUGCCUUCUCCAACCUUCUUGCCAAGUCUUCAGUGAAAAGGAAUUGCUGAUUGAGCAAGAAUUAAACUUCUACAGACUCCUGGAUCCAAUGAAGUUUGAGACAAGGUGAGAUUUGUUUACUGCCGUAUUCUUAGCUCAUAGUAUACUGUUGUCACUUAAUAAAUGUUUGUUGAAUAAGUGAAUGAAUUGAUUCAUACAUCUUUCUUAGCUAUAUGUUUUCUGAGUAAAGUUGAUAAAUUUAAUAGUUUACUUCUGGUGUAAUUUUACUUUACUUGUUCAAUAAACCUGAAAAUUCAACUAGGUGACAGGCACACCGUUGCUGAAGAAAAAGAGGUAUAAGAUACAAUUUCUGUCUAUAUGAAAGUAGAAACAUAUGAACAAAUUAUAACAAUAAAUUGGCUAAAUUCAAAAUCAGAGAGGUUUGUUUCUGUUGUAAACAGCUCUAGUCAGGAAGUGUUAGAAACUUCUAAACAGGAAAUGUUCCAACACACCAUCUAAGCCUGAAGCAGAAGCCACCCAUAAUUGAGUUUUCUACCUACAACUUCAACAGCAAGAAUUCCAAUCCUGCUGCUGCAAAUUAAGUGUCACUCUGAUAUUAUUACUGCUGUGUAACCCAGUUUUAGACUCUCUGGUUGUCACUUAAUGUUCUGAAAAAGUAUUAAAGAGAAAAUGUUAUUAUGGUGAUGAGCCCAUCCACUGCAGCCAUCUCAACAUUAUACCAAUUAUAAGGCCUAUCAUUUAAAAAUUAAACUGUUAGUUUAACUUCUUUAUCCAAAUAUCAGCAUAACAUAAACAUAUUUGCCAUCAGACUUUGGAUUUAUGGGUUAAACAGCUUAUAAAUAUGAUUAGAGGCUUAAAGUUUACACUUUUUUGGUGCUCUCAGAAUUUUUUCAAAAUAGCAUGUGACUCUAAACAAUUGUUAGUAUAUUUUUUUAAAUGAAGUUUAAAAGGUAUAUUUUCCAAAAGCAAAAUACAGCUCCCAUUGGUAAAUGAUGAUGUUGAGAUACAAUAGACAACUCUUGGGAAUCAUUUAAUCAGUGCUCACUUUUAUACUCUGUCCAGAAAUGUCAAUGGGUUUAAAAUAUACAAGUAUAUUACACCAGUAAACUUAUACUUUUUCAGUAUUUUGCAGUAUUUAGUACUUGUUCUAACUCUCUCUUGCUGAAUAGUAAGCCAUUCCAAAACUUAAGGAAUUAUUUAUUGUUUAAUAUUGUUUAUUGUUAUUAUUUGUUUAGUAAUUUUAAAUAACAUUAUUUCUCAUGGUUUUGUGGGUUGACGGGAGCUACAAAAGUUCUCUUUUGGAGUCUUUCUUGCGGUUGCUGUUUGUUGGCUGCUGCUGAAGUUACCUGAAAGCUCAGCUAGGCUAAAAAGCCUAGACGGGUUACUCACCUGGCUGGCAGUGCACAUUGGCUGCUGUGUGUGAUGCCUGUCUGACCUCUUCAUGUUACCUGGAGUCCUCACAACGUGGUAGUUGGUCUCAAGACACACAGGGAAAUACUACAAAGCUUCUUAUGAACUAGCCUUGGAGGUCCUAGAAUGUGACUUCUGCUAUAUCCUAUUGGUAAAGCAAGUCAUUGUGACCAGCACAGAUUCAAGAAAUGCGAGAUUUGACUCUACCUGUCAAUGUAAAGAGCAGCAUGUGCAUGCAGGGAGGAAAGAAAUUGAGGGCAUCAUCUUGAAGACUACCUUAUCACACUAUUAUUCCAACUAAUGAACAUUAUGUUUUAGAUGGAUAGUACUAGCUACUCAUGUCUCCCCCAGAAACCCAAGCUAGGCAUUGACAUAUUGAAAAGAACGUCAGUACCAUUAAAAAAACUCUAGAAAAAUAACAUGGGAUGACUGAGGUUAAUUCAGUCUCUCAAUUACGUCAAUUCCCUUCUUGUAACCCUAAAUAUGGUGAAAUAGAAUUGAAUUCUACAAAAGUCUUUUAUAUGUUUUCCUAUGGAAUAAUUAACAAACCCAAUAAAUGUGUAAAGAGUAUGGAGUCCAAUUUAUUUUAGAUUUAUACCUCUUAAUUUCAAAGCUUAUAGAAAUCCAGAGAACUAAUCAUCAUAAUCCAUAAUGCCUGGACCAGAAGUCAUUGUUCUAAGAGUAUCCUGUGGCAAGCUAAAAAUGUAUUACCAACUAGGAAAUUUAAAACUCUUCUGUUGGUGAAUUUAACAGAGCUGAGUAGCUCAUCAGCACAAUUCACACAGAUUAAGAAUGGAGG